UCAAAACCCUAGUCAAACCUGCAGCUAAAAC
rnacentral:piRNA from 1 species